GCAACGCGAAGAACCUUACCAAGGCUUGACAUGAACCGGAACGGCGCAGAGAUGUGUCGGCCACUUGUGGCCGGUUUACAGGUGGUGCAUGGUUGUCGUCAGCUCGUGUCGUGAGAUGUUGGGUUAAGUCCCGCAACGAGCGCAACCCUCGUUCCAUGUUGCCAGCGGGUUAUGCCGGGGACUCAUGGGAGACUGCCGGGGUCAACUCGGAGGAAGGUGGGGACGACGUCAAAUCAUCAUGCCCCUUAUGUCUUGGGCUUCACGCAUGCUACAAUGGCCGGUACAAAGGGUUGCGAUGCUGUGAGGUGGAGCUAAUCCCAAAAAGCCGGUCUCAGUUCGGAUUGAGGUCUGCAACUCGACCUCAUGAAGUCGGAGUCGCUAGUAAUCGCAGAUCAGCAACGCUGCGGUGAAUACGUUCCCGGGCCUUGUACACACCGCCCGUCAAGUCACGAAAGUUGGUAACACCCGAAGCCGGUGGCCUAACCCCUUGUGGGAGGGAGCCGUCGAAGGUGGGAC
rnacentral:rRNA from 1 species